rnacentral:rRNA from 1 species
CCCUUAGAUGUUCUGGGCAGCACGCGCGCUACAAUGGUCUUCGCAAACAGAUGCAUUCUCGAAGGAGAAUGCCAAUCUUGGAAUCUAUGCCUUGGUCGGGACAGUUGCUUGCAAUUUUUCGACUCGAACCAGGAAUUCCUUGUAAUCGUGAUUCAUCACAUCACGAUGAAUACGUCCCUGCCCUUUGUACACACCGCCCGUCGCUCCUACCGAUCGAAGAGCUAGGUGAAUUGUUUUGAUCGAUAAGAUUUGACUAUGGUCAACCCUCGUUGUGAAAUUCUGUGAAUCUGACUGUUUAGAGGAAGGAAAAGUCGUAACA